rnacentral:rRNA from 1 species
AUCAUUAUGAGAGUUUGAUCCUGGCUCAGGACGAACGCUGGCGGCGUGCCUAAUACAUGCAAGUCGAACGCUUUUUCUUUCACCGGAGCUUGCUCCACCGAAAGAAAAAGAGUGGCGAAC